CAAUCCUGGAGAUGUUGAGAUAUUCUAUGACUCUAUGUCAUCAUAUUUCCCCCCAAAUCCUUCAGAGCAGACUCUCUACCUUUUCCCUUCUCAGCUUCUUUUUUCUCCUUAUUUCCUAGGAUUCUGUGAGAAUCCUGGUUUUAUGCACCUCCAUCCUAAAAUCAGAAAACAAAGUGGUUCCACUCUUCUCGUGAAAUGGCAUAUAUACAUUCCUGAGUGACUCAGGAAUGGGAGGCACCAAAAUGCCCAAUGGAAACUGCAGGAAGAGGUGGAUUGGUGAGCUGGGAAGCCUUCCUCCUGCCUUCACGUGUUUGUUUUCAGGAACCGGAGCGCGUGGAGCAAAUUAUGUGUGAUGGUCUCUGGCACCUCAUGUGCCCUGGAGUUGGAGGACUGUGACUGCAGUAACGAUCCCAGCCAACCUCAAACUCGUGCAGGAUUUGCUGCUCCACCUGGAUGCAUGUUUCUGAAAGUCAAGUCAUAGAAAAGAACAGGUACUGUUUCCUGGGCAGCAGCAUCAAGAAUGAACUGGGGAAGAAUCAAGAAAGCUCAAUUUCUUCCCAUAUUCCACUGAUAUGUUGUCAGCAUUAUCUGAAGCCUUGCAGGAUCUAGUGGAAAAUCUGCAACACCUAGAAUCAUUAUAUUUAGGACAAAAAUCCCAGGUUUUAGAACUACAGAGUAAGUACUGGAAAACAAUGCCAUGGUGCUUACUCACAAAGUAACAAGGAAAACUGAAGUUUAUGUUUGUAAACACAGGUAUUAUACCCUUUUGGCCUUAAUAAUGAUUUCUUUUGAAUAUCUGGAUUCACCAAUGUUACGGCUGUGUUAUCUUUAAAUUGCUUUGCUGUGCUUUCUUCCUGUGAAUCAACAGUUUUACUUCUUUUGCUGGUUUUAGCACUGUCCAGCUAGGAGGACACGAGUAAGAGCUCCCAGCUCAACUCCUGCUUAUUUACAACAGAGCUAAACUCUCCUGCAUGCUGAGAGUUUUAAUUUUACACUGCUCUGCAAGCAGGAGUACAAUUUUUGGAUUGCAAUUAUAGUACACCCCUUCUCCUGAUGGGAAUGAAAAAUGAAAAGUGAUCAUUUAUUGUGAAAUCUUGAGUACGUUUUUGUCUUCUUUUUGAUUUAGGAGCUACCAUAAAGUCAGAUAUAGAGGUUUAAUAAUUUUAUGACUACUAAUAACAUCUGCUGCUAUGCCUUUUAAGAUAAGAGUAAUCAGAUGUCAUGCCUUGGGGUAUAACUGAUCACAGCAAGUAUCAAACUAUCUCUUUAUUUUGGGCUUCUAUCAGGAGCUAAACGGCACUGAGCUGACCUGUGCUACUCUCAUUCAGACAGAAACUGGACUCUAAUGACAAAUUAUUUGUUCUAUCAAGGUAAAAAAUAAGAUACUGGGUUUAAUAUGUGAUAUUUGCAGUUGCUCUCAUACCACAGCAGAUACCAAAGUAUCUGUCAUGUGCCCUAAGCAAUCUGGAUUUUUCUUUCUCAAUAGCAGGACAAGCACACCUUAGCGAUAGCAGUGUUAAUUACAUUAAGUUAGGACAGUUGUUGCUAUGGGCUCUAAGCUCAGGCAGCUUCUGCUUCUGUUCCCUGAAAUACAAUUGCUGAGAUGUACAAGCAAUUUUAGCCAUUUGUAAGCGUGCACUGCAGAAACAAGAAUUAAAUCAGAAUUCAACAUCCAGCACAGGAAUAAAAGAUGAUCACUAGCUAAACAGUGCUCACCACCUCUAAUGGGGAAGAGCAGGUCUGAGGAUGGCACGUUACAGUUAGGGAAAAAAGCCACUUACUUUGGCAGGGAAACAAUAGAUCUUCAUGCUCAAAUGUUUUGAAUGAGAUGUCAAACCAAGGCUUCAGCGUGCUUGUUAUCAGGAGACUUGCUGGGGUACCUAGUGCAAGAACAGACACCGUGAACACCAUGUUCUGACAGCUUCAAAUCACUGAUUUCUUGCAUUUUCUGUCUUUGAUUCUUUCCUAUACUUAAUACAAUUGCUUCUCACUCUCCUGCCCACGUGCUUUUCACAUUCUUAGUGAGCCAUAACUUCUACACAGCAUUUUAAGUCUCACAGUGUACUCUUUGUCAUUAAAUCUAUUUGUGCUGGAUUCAUUUUUAAAGAUAUUUGUGUAGUUUGCAUAAGAACUGAGGUACUACAGUGUAGUACCUAACAAUUUCACCCACCUCCCUUCCUGUUACGUUUCUUUCUUGUCUACUAGCUUGUUUGCCUUCUCUUUUUUGUUCAUUUAUGGGAUACUGCCAGAAGUGCUGUACAAAAGCAUCUUCACUUCCUCAAUCUGACGAGAUCUUUCUUACUCUUCUGCAAAACAAACAAAAAACAAACCACCAAACCAAAACAAAAGGACUUUUAAUCCUACAUUUGAUUUAAUAUUUUGUUCAUUUGUGUCCAAAUGGUAGGUUUUAGUACCGUCUUUCAAACAAGAAACACCAGAUACAAGGGCUGCUCUGAAAGUAAUGCCUCUUAUUUUAUUAUGUUGGCCCACAACUUCAAAAGCAGAUGUUGGUGGUAUGGCAGUAAACAAUGAACCUUCUCAAUAAUAUUCCAUUACAUUUUGUUGCCCUCCUCUCUGAAAUAGUGCUAUUGUGUUCUUUGUAUCCAUUGUAGUUUCCAUGGAAAUGAACAGGAGGCAUUACUUUUGAAACGAUUUAUUAGCUUGUGUUAUUACUUAUACUAUUAUCACCUCUUCUGUUGUGUUGUGUCCAAAGUCACUGGUCACCAUUAAGCUGUAACGUGCCAGCAUUUCUGGUUCACAAGGUGAUCUCAGUGUUUCUUUAUGGUUUCAUGUUGAUGAUGUCUGCCUCCAUGUGUUGCCUCUUCUGUUAUACAUAUAUCAGAAACCUUUUGCUCUGAGACUGUACAGCACUGCCCAUGGCUCUUGGCUGCAGCCCAGUUCCCACAGAUUUGAAGUGGCUGAGAAACGAGCAGUGCUGCUGUGGUCUGAUUACUUGUAUGAACGCAACAAGCAGUUACUUGCAUAAAAAAAAUUGCUCGGUCUGAAGCCCAACCUUUGCUUUCCAGGGUACUUAGAUGAUGUAUGAGGAAAGUUUUGGCAGUAGUUUGACUUCACUCUUUGUCCUGCAUGCAGUUUAUGGGAAGGUGGAUGAAAAGUAGUGUUGCUCUGCCCUCUUAUGAUGGCACCGUAUUUCCAGCUGUUUGUGAUUAGGCGUGUCCUGGCUGCAGCUCAGAGGCAGGCUUUUAUGUUAAAAUACAUGACAGGCAUAUGGAUUCUAAGUGACUACAUUUAACAGUAUUGAUUUUAGGUAUUGAGAUACACAUUUUUGUAUCACCCACUUGUUUCCUGGUUGGAAGGAGAAAAAGAAGGUGCCAAGAAGCUCCCAGGUAUGAUAGGAAAUGGUGUUGACGCUCAGAACACCUGCUACCUAGAAAGACAGAUUGAUAGCUCAGCAUGCGGCACUUUCUGACACAGGCCAAUAAUUAACCUGAUUGCUUCUGUUGUACUAGAGGUAUGUAAAGAGAAAAUUUUUCCUUAUUGCAUUCAGUUAUUCAUCUUCUAGCUUGGCAUCCUUCUUCAGGCAUCUGCUGCCGCUUCAUGCUCCAAAGUAAUGCACAGCUCAGUUACUAAGCAUUAUUUUUUCUAAUUCUGCUCACAGACCCUGGAGAGGAGAAAUACCUCCUAAAAACCAUCAGUUCCUAAGCAUAAGAUUUGGUUACAUUAUUUCAACAUCCUGGUCCAGAUUUUGAUUAGGGAUCCUUACAUUUACUAUGGUACAACAUUAGUCCAGCUACAGCUCCGUUUUCCCAAUAAUGAGCAGCAGUAAGCUCAGAAAGAAGAUGAUAGGAAAGUGGCUAUCCAUCACCUGGGGAGACUCCAGGGCAGAAAGGAAUACACCAGUGACUGGAUCUGGUGAGAUUACAGCUGCUUUAUGCAAUUAGAGAAGCAAAAGCUAUAGGACCAGAUCCUCCACUGCAACUUAUUGAGGUUAUUCUGGCCCAAAGGAUGUAAUUAAUUACUAUUAUUACUUAUGUAUUUGGGAAAUCAUCCACUAAAUUUAGUAAAUGCAAUAGGAUUUGAAGUGUGUUGUCUUGGAUAGUAUGUUAUUAUAAACAAACUGUAAGCAAACUGUGAUAGGAUCAGAAUAUUUGGGAAAGAAGAAUGAAUGAAAACAAACCCCAAAACAAAUCCUGGAUAUGUGACCAAUUCCCAUGUGACCAGACCUGUAUUUCUACCAGAGAUAGGAAAUGAAAACUACUGAAUGUUUUGGAAAUAAAGUUCUGCUGGAAAGCUUUUGGCCUAGUAAAAACCUACCCAAUAUGGUCAUCUUAAAAAUUCAAGACAUAUCUGGGAGAACAGAAAGAACACUACUUUUUACUUUUUACAGAGCAUGCUUGCUAAAAUAUUGUACCAGUGGCCUCAUCGUGUGUGAACCCCAAACAUGAGUCUGACAACUAAAUCUUUUGGACAGAUUAUUUGGAAGUGUAAAUGAAGAAGAGAAGGCAAACUUUCUUUCUUUCUUUCUCUCUCUCUUUCUCUCUUUUCUCCCUUUCUCUCUCUCUUUCUUUCUUCUUCUUUUCUUUUUUUUCUUUUUUUUUGGUAAAAAAUGUGGAGUACUAAUUUCACAAAGCUAACGCAUACCAGACAAUGUCGCACAAGAUCCUGCAGGCUGCUGCAUGAAUGAGGUCUUUCAGGCCCUGCACACUGCCCCGCUUGUUCCCCAAGCUGUACUUUCUGGUCACUAACACUCAGCUGGCAAGAGCAGAGGAUGCUGCACCAAGUGCCAUUUGUCUGUCAGCUCAAAAAAAUGGAACUCUCCUUACAGCUGUUCUUUUCAGCACUUCCUACUAUGCACUAGUAUAGACAUGAAGACACACGAUAUUCCACAAAAUUAAAACCCACAGAGUUUGAUGAGCUCAGUUGUCAGGGUCAGCUCGAACUAGUUCAGACUUUCAGAAUUCAUCACACCUAGUUUGUGCAUUCCGAAAACUUCUCCCCACCCUGAGCAAAUGUUCCUAACUGAAUCAAGCAAAAAGAAACAUUUUUAGAAUGCAGUCGUCUGCCACAGCUCCAUAACAAAGGGGGAAAUAACUACGUGUUAUGUGUAACUUCUGGCUGUUGCAAAGGCAGGGAUUAUAGAUGAACUACUGGAGCAAGUACAAAUGUGAAUAUUAAACCAAAUCAUUUAUUAGAUUCUCAGGUAUAACUGUUGACAGAAAUGUGCGCUAUUUAUUUUACUGUAUUUUCAUCCUUAGAAUAGCAGUUUUGAUUAAAUGAAUGCAGCUACACAGUCCAGAGCGCACUAAAAUAUGCCAUUUUAAGACGUUAUCAUUUCUCCUUCACAAAUUGCUUGAUCUGAGGUCCUCCGGAAACACGGAGCUCUGCCGGCAGUGGCCGCGUGGAUGCUGCCCUCUAGCGCUCACUACUCCAAGGGCCAGGUCCUGCCUGCGAGGCCUGCUGACCUGCCGUGUUCCUAAAACCACCAGGGAAUGUGCCAUCAGGGAACUUAUUUAUUUAUUUAUUUAUGAUGCCUGCUUCCUCUUCCUGCUUCCUAUUCACUAAGUGGUAAAUGAGAAAAUUAACCUGCUACUGCAGCAGCACAUAGGUGCCCCCAAAGUGGUCAGACUCAUUCCCCGGCCCUGUACGGAGGUGUGCACGCACUCAUUAACGGAGGAAGAAUUGCGUGUCAGAACAGGGAAAGAACAAAACGUUGGGUGACUGGGUCAGUCACAGACAGCAGCUCGUGCCCUGCCUGGUGCUGCUGCAACCUGCAGGAGAUGCCCCAUCUGGAGUACUGUGUCCAGGUAUGGAGCCCUCAGUACAAGAAAGACAGAGAGCUGUUGGAGAGGGUCCAGAGGAGGGCCACGAAGAUGAUCAGGGGGCUGGAGCACCUCCCCUACAAAGACAGGCUGAGGGAGCUGGGCUUAUACAGCCUGGAGAAGAGAAGGCUGCGGGGUGACCCCAUUGCAGCCUUUCAGUACCUGAAGGGAGCCUAUAAACAGGAAGGGAGUAAACUCUUUGAAAGGGUAGAUAACAGCAGGACAAAGGGGAACGGCUUUAAGUUGAAAGAGGGAAGAUUUAGGUUGGAUGUCAGGGGAAGUUCUUUACAAGGAGAGAGGUGAUGUGCUGGAACAGCUGCCCAGAGAGGCUGUGGAUGCCCCGUCCAUCCCUGGAGGUGUUCAAGGCCAGGUUGGAUGGGGCCCUGGGCAACCUGGUCUGGUAAAUGGGGAUGUUGGUGGCCCUGCCUGGCAGGGGGGUUGGAAGUUCGUGAUCCUUGAGGUCCCUUCCAACCCAGGCCAUUCUGUGAUUCUGUGAGCAGCCCAGCUACUGCUCACUACCACCGCCACCACCACCACCACCGCAGCUACCGGCACCAUUCCCAGCAUCUACCAGACGAGGUCGCUCCGGAGCGAGAUACAGGAGAUUGUCCCCUUCCGCCUCCCCGUGGGUUUUCACGGAAGGAGAAAACAAACUAUUCCAAGCGUCUCAGCACGCAGUUUCUUUCUAUCGCUCCAGAACACAGCAGUAUGUGUUUUUUGACGGCCGUGCUUUCCCCCAGGAGCGUGAUAGAAUGUAUUUGUCACACCGGCUUCUGAUGGUGUGACCAGUAGAGGACAGGACAGUAUCUAGUUUGGGAAUUUGUAAUAUACAGCUCUUGGAGUAGUUUUGAGUGCUUCUGACUUUGUCAACUUUACUGCUGCUUUCCGUCACUGCAAUGAUGCAAGACAGCUGGAUGUGGUCCGUGUAUUUGCAAGCUUUCCGUUGGCACUCUGGUCAGAAGAGAAGUGACUGGCUCUGGGCUCUGCUGCCAUCACACCCAAAUAACUUGUCACUGGUACUUCUGGAGCUGCUAAUAGUCAUGAAGAGCUGGGGAAAAAAUCCUGUAGCUGAGUGAACGUACGUGGCGAGUUCCUUCAGCUUUCUUCUUUUCUAAUCAUGCCAUACUGGAAACAUCUGGGAGACAGCAAUUUCCACAUACAUUCUAGAAUAAGUGCAUUUUAAACAACAAAACCAGCUGGCAGUGGUUUGGCUGUUCUGAGAUGCUCCGAGCGCUGUGCAGAGUUGAGUCCAUCAGAGAACUGGGAGUUGGUAUGGAGAAAGCCUAGCACCUGUUUGCUUGGAAAUGCUUAUGAAAAUCUCUUAUUUUAUAUAUAUGCAUACAUAAAAAAUAAUAUAUACGCAUACGUUUAAGGAGUUAUAUUUAUUCACUAUUCUGACAAGAAUCAACUGGGACCAACAGCUAUUGAGAGGUUUAAAUGCAAAGAGAGGUACCAGAUGUUAUCCAAAAGGCUUUCCUGUAACCGAGAGAAAGACUUGGCCGUAUACACUUAAAAAUAAUUAGAAGUACUGAACUAUAAAUGCCUAUUCUGAAACAUGCGCAUGGGUGUUGAUUUCAUAUAACCUGAAUUCUUUUGAGGGGCAAAUGCGUAUUGCUGCUGUUUAAUCUUGUUUAACUGCGUGUACUGGGAUAAAGCAAACCGCUUCGCGAUGAGGAAAAGC
ensembl:lncRNA